rnacentral:rRNA from 1 species
UACGUAGGGUGCGAGCGUUGCUCGGAAUGACUGGGCGUAAAGGGCGCGUAGGCGGUUUGUACAGUCAGGUGUGAAAUUCCCGGGCUCAACCUGGGGGCUGCACUUGAUACGUAGGAACUUGAGUGUGGGAGAGGUGAGUGGAAUUCCUGGUGUAGUGGUGAAAUACGUAGAUAUCAGGAGGAACAUCGGUGGCGAAGGCGGCUCACUGGACCAGUACUGACACUGAGGAGCGAAAGCAUGGGGAUCAAACAGG